GGUGAGUUCUUCUUCUUUUUCUUUCUUCUUCAUUAUUAUUUUCAUCAUUUUAUUUUUUUGACGACCGACCUUCCAUUUGUAGCUGAUCUACAACAUGUCCGAGUUGGAGGUCAGGUAUCGGAGGUUCGACGAUGUCCAAGCGGCUUGGAAGAAUAGGGCUGAAACCGUCGAAGCCGAGAAGGCGAUGCUGGUGUACUAGUUGAAGCUGUCGGUCGAUCGUGAGGCUAGGC
rnacentral:lncRNA from 1 species